rnacentral:tRNA from 1 species
AUUUAUAUAGUAUAUAAUACAUUUAACUUCCAAUUAAAAAAUUUACUAAAAAUUAGUAAUAUAAAUA